UCCAUACAUGAUGUGGCCGGCCGGCAGAAGGUGAUUGUUGCGAGGAUGCUUGGCAACGACGCACGUCGCCACCUCAGCUCCGUCUUGACUCCCGAUCAUCACUCUGGUGACAAGGUUAUUGUGCAUGCCACCGAGCAUGAGCUCGUAGUGGUAGAAAAAACUUGCGCCAAGUAGAUGAGCAAGUGGUGGUCCUAUUUGGCGAGAUUGAGCUCUUGCACCUGAAUUAUGAUUAUUAACAUCAUGAGUUUUAUUAUAUUAUAGGAAUAACAUCGAUUAAGAAUGAUAUUAUUAAUAUAUUAGUUUAAUCCUAUUUCUCAAUCGGUCUAUUUGGUGCUAUGUAAUUGUUAUGUAUAUAUUCACUUAUCACAAUCGAUCUAUUUGGUGCUAUGUAAUUGUUAUGUAUAUAUUCACUUAUCACAAUCGAUCUAUUUGGUGCUAUGUAAUUGUUAUGUAUAUAUUCACUUAUCACAAUUAUCAUGCCAAAAUAAAAAGAUUGUGACUUGAUAAGAUAAAAUUAGCAUAAUAAUUGCAUUUUUCCUCUUUGUCAAUAAUACUUGCAUGUGCAUUCUUCUUUAACAUGCGCAUAUUGUCAAUAAUAUUUUCAUACAUUUUUGUCGCAGAUUGUGAUAUACAGACUAUCUUAAAGACAAUAGUUUUUAUUCCGGCAGUUAUAAAAUUUUUACAAUUUCUUUUCAUAAAAAUAAAAUAAAAUUUGUGUACGAUAAAUGCUAGACGUUUGAUUGCAAAUUCCUAAUGCUGACAUUUUGUUUCAAAAUUUUUACAAAUGACGUGAUAGAUGAAUAACUAGUUAUUUUUCAAAUAAUGAAACAACCAUAUUCUUGAUUUUAAUUAGUAUUGUUAGUAGUAUGUCAAAAUUGGAAACAAUUAUUCAAUAAAUAACAUCAUGCAUUUUAAAACUUUAUCUGCAACAUUUACUAUUUUGUUUAUAAAAAUUAUUUUUCAGCAAAAUCAUCAAUAUAUGAAACCAAUAUCUGUAUCUUUUUGUAUUCAUCAUCACUUAAAUCAUCUCUUUACAUUUACCGUAAGUUAUCCUCAUUCAUGAUAUUUUCUUUCUCACGCGUUAUUUUGAAACAUACACACAGCUAAUUGACAAAGGUAUCACCAUAUUUACAGAUUAUAGGAAAAAAUUAUAUACAAAUCAAUACUACUUUUAACAUGAUGUGUAAAGUUUUGACGAGGCUUAGGUAAGAUGAUGGCGUGAGAUUUACAGGAGUACUAUUUCUUGAACUCAUGUGAAGAUUUUUAGGACGGUUAAGUAUUGUCUUUGAACUCAUCAUGUGAAGAUCCUUGAUAAUUUGAUUGGAGUCUAAUAAGAUUCUAAAAAAUUCGAGAUAGAUUAAAUAGGAUCAAGAUUAGACUCCGAAUAAGUGAUAUGAUUCUGGAUGGAUGAUUUUUUUUAUUUAUUUAAUAUAAUACUCUACUAGUUUCUCUUGAAUAUAGUGAUUUGUAUAUGAUUAUUGAUCAAUUUAUAUAUAUACUUAAUACUAGAUUUUGUGGAAUUUUAAUAAAAUACAUAUAUAUGAACUUGUUCGUGAAUAUUCAAUCAAACUACCGUGCAUUGUGGAAUUUAUGAAUUUGUUCCCUGAAUAUCCAAUCGAGAAGUUUUGGUCCUUUUGGAUUUAGAAAUCCUACUAAAAUAAAAAUGAAUAUAAAUUAAGGAUCCAGAAAUAUGCUACUCAUUCACAAAGAAAAAUACUUCAAACGGCAGCCAAAUUGCGGGAGGUCUGACUCCCCACAUGUGCGUGUGUAAUCAAUUAGCAAAAAAUAAUUCGAAAAAGAAUUCAGGAAUUAACUUUCAAACUCCGUCAAUCCAAAUACCCAUGUACAUCCAUAUUUCACAUACAGAAAAGACCGUACCUAUACAUUUCUCACACAAAUUCUCAAGAACCAACGCCACCGCAUCACCGCAUCAUUUCCUCCCUUUCCCCGUCCUCCUCCGGCCACCGCAGCUCCUCGCGCCACCGUAAAAUUUCUCAGAGAUCAAUGGCUUGUCAUCCUCCCCAUCUUCAUCUUCACAAGUUCCAAUCCUAACGCAAGAACACCGAUCCAACGACGCGAAAAAAAGAGCCGCGACACCGUCAACAAGCCACAUGGCUACACCCUCGAGCUUUCGCGUCCCGGAGGAUCGAACCCGGGGCUCUAGCGGAUCUGCAUGGGCUCUGUGGUUGAAGAAUGAAGCACAAGCUGUCAUUGAGUGAGAGAUCCAAGCAUUGGUGACAAGAACAACAAUAAUUUGUACAAGUUUAAUGGGCUUUUAAAAUGUCGCAUGUUGCUGUCAAUGAUUAUAGUAGUGUGGAUUUCAAGUUUUGCCCUUGGGCUUUUCUGAAUUUACAAAGGUGAAAUGUGUAUCAGACAAAUGUAUAUUACAAAAGACUUUGGACAAGAACUGUCAGUUUUGUCCGAGAUCGUCAAUCUUGUCUUCCACUUAUAUAUUCUAGUACUACCAUUUAAAUUGUCCAUUUCUGUGGCACCGAAUUUGUAAUAGUUUAGAUGUUCGGUGGAAUCACUAUAGCAUGACUCGAGC
rnacentral:lncRNA from 1 species